GAGAGUUAAAAAGUAUGUGAAAUUGUUGAAAGGGAAACGAUUGAAGUCAGUCAUACCAACGGGAAAUCAACCUCUUGAGUUUGGUCUCGUGGGUUUCGAAGAGUUUAAAAGCCUUCGGAUUUUCGAGAUUGGGCUCUUCUGGUGUACUUUCUCGUACGGUUAGUCAACAUCGGUUUUGAAUGUCAUAAAAUGACUGGAGGAAUGUGGCUUCGAUCUCGUAUUGAAGUGUUAUAGCCUUUGGUAGAUGUGAUGUUCGAGACCGAGGAUUGCAACGGAUACCCUUCUGGGCUAUUCGUCUGAUCUCUGAAACGUUGCCUUGAUGUCGAAAGCUUGCUUAUGAUGUUAGGGUAUUACGGUCAAAAGGUUAGAACGGAUUAAAUUCGUUAAGGAUGUUGACGUAAUGACUUUAAACGA
rnacentral:rRNA from 1 species